GGGCCCAUAGCUCAGUUGGUUAGAGCAGUGGCCUUUUAAGCCACGUGUCCUGGGUUCGAAUCCCAGUGGGCCCUCCA
rnacentral:tRNA from 1 species